GAUUAACGCUGGCGGCGUGCAUAACACAUGCAAGUCGAACGAUGAAACUCUUUGGAUUUCUUCUGAAUGAAAGUGAAUGGCUUAGUGGCGAACGGGUGAGUAACGCCUGAGUAACCUUCCUUACACAAGGGGAUAGCCUCUCGAAACGGCGACUAAUACCCUAUGAAACCAGACAAUCGCAUGAUAAUCUUUUCAAAAUGUUUAGUGGUGUAAGAGGGAUUUGUGUCUGAUUAGCUAGUUGGUGAGAUAAAAGCUCACCAAGGCUACGAACAGUAGCUGGAAUGAGAGAGUGGACCGACACACUGGGACUGAGACACGGCCCAGAUAUCGACGAGAGGGAGCAGUGGUGAAUCAGGCACAAUGGGGGAAAGAAGAAUGCAGCCAGGCCGUGAAAUUUAGAAGUUCUUCGGGUAGUAAAAAAGUUUUGUAUAGGAAGAAAAUGACAGUACUAAACGAAUAAGGACCGGCUAAUUACGUG
rnacentral:rRNA from 1 species